rnacentral:rRNA from 1 species
CGGAGGGUGCAAGCGUUAUCCGGAUUCACUGGGUUUAAAGGGUGCGUAGGUGGCUUUGUAAGUCAGUGGUGAAAUCUUAGAGCUUAACUCUAAAACUGCCAUUGAUACUGCUUAGCUUGAAUCAAGUCGAGGUGGAUGGAAUAUUACAUGUAGCGGUGAAAUGCUUAGAUAUGUAAUAGAACACCGAUUGCGAAGGCAGUUCACUAGGCUUGUAUUGACACUGAGGCACGAAAGCGUGGGGAUCAAACAGGAUUAGAUACCCUGGUAGUCCACGCCCUAAACGAUGUAAACUCGACAUUAGCGAUAUACUGUUAGUGUCCAAGCGAAAGCGUUAAGUUUACCACCUGGGAAGUACGACCGCAAGGUUG